rnacentral:tRNA from 1 species
GUCCCUGUAGCUUACAAUAAAGCAUGGCACUGAAGAUGCCAAGACGGCCCUUCAUUCACCCAGGGACA